rnacentral:rRNA from 1 species
UGGGGAAUAUUGCACAAUGGGCGAAAGCCUGAUGCAGCAACGCCGCGUGAGUGAUGAAGGUCUUCGGAUUGUAGAGCUCUGUCUUUUGGGACGAUAAUGACGGUACCAAAGGAGGAAGCCACGGCUAACUACGUGCCAGCAGCCGCGGUAAUACGUAGGUGGCGAGCGUUGUCCGGAUUUACUGGGCGUAAAGGGUGCGUAGGCGGAUGUUUAAGUGAGAUGUGAAAUACCCGGGCUUAACUUGGGUGCUGCAUUUCAAACUGGAUAUCUAGAGUGCAGGAGAGGAGAACGGAAUUCCUAGUGUAGCGGUGAAAUGCGUAGAGAUUAGGAAGAACACCAGUGGCGAAGGCGAUUCUCUGGACUGUAACUGACGCUGAGGCACGAAAGCGUGGGUAGCAAACAGGAUUAGAUACCCUGGUAGUCCACGCCGUAAACGAUGAGUACUAGGUGUAGGAGGUAUCGACCCCUUCUGUGCCGCAGUAAACA